rfam:Caldalkalibacillus thermarum TA2.A1 ctg161, whole genome shotgun sequence.
GGGGGCGUAAUGGAUUCGACGGGGAUAGAUCGAGCAUUAGCUGCGAGCCGAGGGGUCGUCCUCGUAAAAACGACACCUAAAAAUAACUGGCAACAAUAACGAAAACUACGCUCUGGCUGCUUAAUCCGGAGCGGCUCUGUCUGUCAACCGCCCACGUUGGCAGAUAGGGCUCACCGCAAGUGGGCUGCAGCAUGUUCCUCCACCUGCGGAACAUGCCUAAGCUUAGCAGGUUAGCCUGAAGGGUGUGCCUGUCGCCGGGCGUUCCUUCAGGUGAAAGGGAAAUACGGCGACUACGCUCGUAGAUGCUAAUGUGGCGAUAUCUCCGGACGUGGGUUCGAUUCCCACCGCCUCCACCA